CUCCAUCUUAUUCAAAAUGCCCAUGCUGCAGUUCAUUCUCGUGCGUUAAUUCCGGGGCUUGCAAUCAAAUGUAACUGUAAGGAUGUAAGGUUUCAUACUUAUGUACACUAAGAGGAAAGGACGCAACAGCAAUUACUAAUGUAAUGAGGCUUGCUGCAAACUUCAGUGUCUAUGGAAAACUUGCAGAAAAAACAUUUCCUGAAUUGAAAUUGAAAAAUGUAGUUGUUCAGUUGAGAAGAGGUUCCAAGCAACAGGGAAGGAAAUAGAAGAUAUUAUAAGGGUGUUUGAA